GGCCAGAUAGCUCAGUUGGUAGAGCAGAGGACUGAAAAUCCUUGUGUCCCCGGUUCGAUUCCGGGUCUGGCCACCA
rnacentral:tRNA from 1 species